AUAAUGAGUUCUCAUGAUUGGCAAGAUUUAUAUACCUCCUUCUUAAGUGUGUUAAAAGGACAAAUGUAACACAUGAAUGUCACUAAGAGACGUUUAAUAGUGAUUCUAAUUAUAUUUAGGAAGUAUUUUUUCACAUUUUUAAGUUUUAAACACUAUUAAUUUGAUGUAAAGACAACCCGAGCUUUAUAUGUUUUAAAAUGAUCAAAUAAUUUUCUAUUUCUUCCAUACAAAGGGAUAAAAAUAUGGCUAAAGCUAUGAAGUUUAUUUAUGCUAUAAUCAUUUUUAUUUCCAUAUUUAUUAUUGCAACGAAUGUUCAUGCUUUUAAUGAAUGUAGUGAAGACGAUGAUUGUCCAAAAGCUAUGUGCUUUAAAGGUUAUGUUGCAAAGUGUAUUAAUAACAGCAGAUGUGCAUGUGUUGAUGAAGAUGAUGAUUUACCCUAAUUCUAUUCAAUGAGUAAUCGUUUAGUUAUUGUCUAAGAUCCAAUAAUUAUAUAUAUAUUUUUUUAUAUUUUCUGUAAUAAUUUUAAGGACCUUCCAAUAGAGAUUUUGUACUAUAUAUAAAAUGAUGGUAAUGAAAUAAAAUAAAACAAUAAAGAAUAUUACUUAGAUUAUCUCCUCUAUCUUAAUUUUGGAGGUAUUUUUGUGACCUUCGUUCAAGACA